CCGCGGGAUUAGAGUUUGAUCCUGGCUCAGAGCGAACGCUGGCGGCAGGCUUAACACAUGCAAGUCGAGCGGGCGUAGCAAUACGUCAGCGGCAGACGGGUGAGUAACGCGUGGGAACAUACCUUUUGGUUCGGAACAACACAGGGAAACUUGUGCUAAUACCGGAUAAGCCCUUACGGGGAAAGAUUUAUCGCCGAAAGAUUGGCCCGCGUCUGAUUAGCUAGUUGGUGAGGUAACGGCUCACCAAGGCGACGAUCAGUAGCUGGUCUGAGAGGAUGAUCAGCCACAUUGGGACUGAGACACGGCCCAAACUCCUACGGGAGGCAGCAGUGGGGAAUAUUGGACAAUGGGCGCAAGCCUGAUCCAGCCAUGCCGCGUGAGUGAUGAAGGCCCUAGGGUUGUAAAGCUCUUUUGUGCGGGAAGAUAAUGACGGUACCGCAAGAAUAAGCCCCGGCUAACUUCGUGCCAGCAGCCGCGGUAAUACGAAGGGGGCUAGCGUUGCUCGGAAUCACUGGGCGUAAAGGGUGCGUAGGCGGGUCUUUAAGUCAGGGGUGAAAUCCUGGAGCUCAACUCCAGAACUGCCUUUGAUACUGAGGAUCUUGAGUUCGGGAGAGGUGAGUGGAACUGCGAGUGUAGAGGUGAAAUUCGUAGAUAUUCGCAAGAACACCAGUGGCGAAGGCGGCUCACUGGCCCGAUACUGACGCUGAGGCACGAAAGCGUGGGGAGCAAACAGGAUUAGAUACCCUGGUAGUCCACGCCGUANACGAUGAAUGCCAGCCGUUAGUGGGUUUACUCACUAGUGGCGCAGCUAACGCUUUAAGCAUUCCGCCUGGGGAGUACGGUCGCAAGAUUAAAACUCAAAGGAAUU
rnacentral:rRNA from 1 species